GAUGAACGCUGGCGGCGUGCCUAAUACAUGCAAGUCGAGCGAACAGACGAGGAGCUUGCUCCUUCGACGUUAGCGGCGGACGGGUGAGUAACACGUAGGUAACCUACCUAUAAGACUGGGAUAACUUCGGGAAACCGGAGCUAAUACCGGAUAAUAUUUCGAACCGCAUGGUUCGAUAGUGAAAGAUGGCUUUGCUAUCACUUAUAGAUGGACCUGCGCCGUAUUAGCUAGUUGGUAAGGUAACGGCUUACCAAGGCAACGAUACGUAGCCGACCUGAGAGGGUGAUCGGCCACCCUGGAACUGAGACACGGUCCAGACUCCUACGGGAGGCAGCAGUAGGGAAUCUUCCGCAAUGGGCGAAAGCCUGACGGAGCAACGCCGCGUGAGUGAUGAAGGUCUUCGGAUCGUAAAACUCUGUUAUUAGGGAAGAACAAACGUGUAAGUAACUGUGCACGUCUUGACGGUACCUAAUCAGAAAGCCACGGCUAACUACGCG
rnacentral:rRNA from 1 species